rnacentral:rRNA from 1 species
GACGAACGCUGGCGGCGUGCUUAACACAUGCAAGUCGAACGGAAAGGCCCUGCUUUUGUGGGGUGCUCGAGUGGCGAACGGGUGAGUAACACGUGAGUAACCUGCCCUUGACUUUGGGAUAACUUCAGGAAACUGGGGCUAAUACCGGAUAGGAGCUCCUGCUGCAUGGUGGGGGUGGGAAAGUUUCGGCGGUUGGGGAUGGACUCGCGGCUUAUCAGCUUGUUGGUGGGGUAGUGGCUUACCAAGGCUUUGACGGGUAGCCGGCCUGAGAGGGUGACCGGCCACAUUGGGACUGCGAUACGGCCCAGACUCCUACGGGAGGCAGCAGUGGGGAAUAUUGCACAAUGGGAGGAAGCCUGAUGCAGCAACGCCGCGUGCGGGAUGACGGCCUUCGGGUUGUAAACCGCUUUCGCCUGUGACGAAGCGUGAGUGACGGUAAUGGGUAAAGAAGCACCGGCUAACUACGUG